rnacentral:rRNA from 1 species
AUCUUCGGCAAUGGGCGAAAGCCUGACCGAGCGACGCCGCGUGAGGGAUUGAAGGCCUUCGGGUUGUAAACCUCUUUCGUAGAGGAGGAAGGGGCUGUGAAGAACAGUCCUUGACCUAUUCUAGGAAGAAGCUUGGGCUAAGUUCGUGCCAGCAGCCGCGGUAAGACGAACCGUGCGAACGUUAUUCGGAAUCACUGGGCUUAAAGGGUGCGUAGGCGGGUGGACAAGUCGAGGGUGAAAGCCUCUAGCUUAACUAGAGAAGUGCCCUCGAUACUGUUUGUCUUGAGAGAGAUAGGGGCACACGGAACUUCCGGUGGAGCGGUGAAAUGCGUAGAUAUCGGAAGGAACGCCGGUGGCGAAAGCGGUGUGCUGGAUCUUUUCUGACGCUGAGGCACGAAAGCUAGGGUAGCGAACGGGAUUAGAUACCCCGGUAGUCCUAGCCCUAAACGAUGAGUACUAGAUUGUGGACUGACGAUGGGUUCACAGUCGAAGCAAAAGUAUUAAGUACUCCGCCUGGGGAGUAUGGUCGCAAGGCUGAAACUCAAAGGAA